AUUACACCAAAAAACAUACAACUCUCCGGGGAGGCUUGUGCUUUCUAGCAAGCCUUUCCCACAGAUACGCAAUACAAUCUAUAUAUAUAUAUCUAUAUAUAUAUAGACACAACAUACAGUAGAAAAAGGCCGAUCGACGUUAACAUAUCGCGUAUACAACAAAAAAGUUCGUUCUACGGCUUUUUUUUGGCGACGUGCGUGGAUAACGGCUCACAUAACGUGUCGCGAUGGAUGACUUGGCUUCCUAUUUCGUUGAAGAACGCAGUA
rnacentral:misc_RNA from 1 species